GACGGGGGAUGCAAGCGAUAUCCGGAAUCACUGGGCAUAAAGCGUCUGUAGGUGGUGAUGCAAGUCACUGGUGCAAAACUCUGGCUCAACCGGAGGAAAGCCAGUGAAACUGCAUGACUAGAGUGUGGGAGAGGUAGAAGGAAUUCCCUGAGUAGCGGUGAAAUGCGUAGAUACAGGGAAGAACACCGGAGGCGAAAGCGUUCUACUGGAACACAACUGACACUGAGGGACGAAAGCUAGGGGAGCGAAUGGG
rnacentral:rRNA from 1 species